GCAUUUGUGAGUAGGGUUAGAGUCCACGCCUGACCAUAGCAGUCCAGGCGAGCGUACGGUUAUACAGGUGCGGGGUUGGCCCGGGCAGUGCUCGGCGUGGUUCACGAUGAGCGGCGAUCCCCGAGUGGAACCCAGCACUGACUGAGGAUUCUCUGCUGCCUGGAGGUGGUUCAGCACUGACUGAGGAUGCCUUCAAAUCGAGAGCACAGGUUGGCACAGGUCCGCGUGUCUCGGACUCGGCCUGCCGGAGGAGG